rnacentral:rRNA from 1 species
CCCUUAGAUGUUCUGGGCUGCACGCGCGCUACACUGAAGCUAUCAACACGUUUUCCCUCCCUGAGAAGGGCGGGUAACCUUUUGAAUCAGCUUCGUGGUAGGGAUCGGGGCUUGCAAUUGUUCCCCGUGAACCAGGAAUUCCUAGUAGACGCGAGUCAUAAGCUCGCAUCGAUUAAGUCCCUGCCCUUGGUACACACCGCCCGUCGCUACUACCGAUUGAACGUUUUAGUGAGGCAUUUGGACCGACGCAUCUCAGUUUAACCGCUGGUUUGUGUUGGAAAGACUUCCAAACUUGAGCGUUUAGAGGAAGUAAAAGUCGUAACA